GCAACUGGCGCCACUUUUAGUUGUUGUUUUUUGCUUCAGUUGCGUUAGCAGUAGCAGCUGUUCAUUUGCAGAGGCUUAAAAUGUCGAAGCCGGUUGGAGCAAGAGUUCCAAAACUUUGGCUACUUCGCCUGAAGCAACUAGAGCACUGCUGUAUCGCUAAUAUACCCAGAUAUUAUGUUCGUCUAGACUCUAGAGUUUAGGCUCUAAGAAAAGAGUACUGCUUACUCACUUUUUACUGCCGCCACCACACGUUAAGUUUUUUGCCAACGAAAAAUCAGAAACCAAAACGCGCUGCCCGAAACGAGACGAAUGAAUGAGCGGCGACGCGACGCCGUCUCCACUGGUAGAGUAUUGGCCGACGCGGCGCUGGCAGCACCAGCAGCAGCUUCAGCAGCAGGUGGCCGGAGACUUUAGCAGCGACGAUAAAGGAUAAAUAUGCAAAGUGCAACAAAAGAAACAAUUUAAACGCAUAAUGCGUGCUCAAUGAACAUACAAAUUACGUGCAAUUUGCCGAUGCAAUAAAGACGACAGAACAGCGAACGUAAAUAGAAGAAUCUGAAGCAUAAGAUGAAGAAGAAAAGAUACAUACAAUACAUACAUAUCUAUGCACUACACACAUAUUUAUGCGCUCACAAAUUGCCGCUCAAAAUGCUAACAUUAUUUUUAUUUCUUUGAAACGAUUCGCGUUUCUCUCUUGGUCUCUCUGAGUGUGUGAAAUCAGCAAAGUGCAUUUUGUCAUUUUGUGCCCUUGAAAGGAAAUAUUAUUAUUUAGACCAUGCUUUGGCAAUGCAGCGAGUAUUUAAGUACAUUAUUAAUUGUUACAACAUACAUAUACACAGAGAGAAUGCAACUGCGAUGCACAACCAAACACACACACCACC